GAUGGGAAAUAUGGAGGAAAUUUGAUCCGGCUCACAGUAUCGUCUUCACCGAGUCUUCUGUUCACCUAACUACCUCUUCAGAAGUCGCUAUGGCUUCUCAAAGUCAACGGUCACCACCAUCACUCCAAACACCUUCCAGUGCCUUCGAAAACUUACCCUUUUCGGGCACACUAGUUCCCAUGGAUGAAAUGCAUUCUUCAAAUCCAGUGAAUGUGUUCGAAUCCAUGUCUUCAGAUCAGAAUGGGUCAUCGAUUUGUGUAUGAUUUAUUUGAUACCGAUGAGCAAGCCACUCAAUUCUCUCCCAAUCAUAGUUCCAAAGCAGAGGCAACCAAACCCCUGAGCCCUAUUGCUGAGAAUCAGAAGAAUCAAACUGAGAAUGCUGAGGUUCUAGUCCAACUCUAGAGGUGCUGUAAUUGUGCUGAGUUUGCUGCUGGAACUGAAGCCCAGAUAGCGGAAACAGUGGUCUUGGAAGUCCUGCCACCAGUGAAAGAAGAAAGGAGGAGGGGCAAGAGAAGCUCCAAGUCUUGUUUGAAUCAAAGGAGAAGGGUUCUUGGGGAGUCUGAUUUACAAGCGAAGGGGCUUGGUGAUAUGGAUUUUUAUGUGAACGUGGUUUGUGGGAACUAGGUAGUGGGAAGCGUCUGGAUAUCAGUUGUUUGGACAGUCCACAUCAUGUCAAGAUGUCUCCCCUUAGUGACGGUAUGGCCAUGAAAUAGCAUCUCAAGGUGUUAGAAGGACGCAGAUUAUACCUCCGAAAACAAAUUAUAUGGAUUUUCCGUGACAAAGGAAAAUGAAUUCCUUGUUUUUCCCUAAAGAGGAAAAUUUUAUA